rnacentral:rRNA from 1 species
GACUCCCUUUCCUCCCUUUUUCCCUAAUCACUGGGCUUAAAGGGCGCGUAGGCGGUCCAACAAGUCGGGGGUGAAAACCUGCAGCUCAACUGUAGAAGUGCCUCCGAUACUGUUGGUCUAGAGGGAGAUAGGGGUGUGCGGAACUUCCAGUGGAGCGGUGAAAUGCGUUGAUAUUGGAAGGAACGCCGGUGGCGAAAGCGGCGCACUGGAUCUCUUCUGACGCUGAGGCGCGAAAGCUAGGGGAGCAAACAGG